UUCUUUCUUUCUUUCUUUCUUUCUUAAGUGUAACUCUUGCUGUAUUUGCAAUCAUUUCAGUGCAGUCUGGCCCUCAGGAGUCUGAACCAGUCUAUAUCAAUAUCAGCCAAAUGAGGAAUGAUAGAGAGCGCAGCAGCACACCAGAAAACAGAGAAAAUAGUCCUGAAAUAUAUCGUAAUAUAAGAAGAGACAGAUAUGGAAAAGGAAACAUGAAUAAAAGAGAUGAGACACCAGUUACAUCAGACAGUAUGACCUACGCAACCAUUGUUUUCAACAAAUCCAGGUUUCAGACUUAAAAUAUAACUCCAGUCUAUAAUGAAAACCUGAGGAAGACACAAUUUCAUAUAAUGUUUUAUUUUUUAGAUAUGAACCUCAAACCAAUAUCUCACAGAGAAAGUAUAAACAUUUUCUUUAUUAAACAGCAGAUGGCGCUGUCUGGUUACAUUAGCUAUAAUCUGAGAAUGCAUUAAGAGGUUCUCAGACCUAACUGCCUUCAUUAAACCACCACCACAUAUAUUAAUCCUACUGACUGAAACUGGAUAACUGCAUCCUGUUAUUAAUGUUGUGUUAAUCCCAUUUGUAAAAGCAUCAACUAAGCAUCCAAAUAUUAUUAUGAUUUUGCAUUUGUUAUAUUAUAGUUGCCUUCAUAUAUGUGCAUGCAUGCUAGUGAAAUGGCCAUUUGAUGGCACUGUUUGAAAACGUUCUUGAAUAAUAAUAAUAAUAAUAAAGUGUAAGUACUAAAUAGGAUAAUGCA
ensembl:lncRNA